GGAUGGAGAAGAAGGCGUGAGAAAUGGGAGGCGCGUGCCUGGCUCGUUGCCCAGGCUCCUCCCGGCAGCUCCGUACUUCAGUCUAACUUAGCACAAAAGCCCGGCCCCACUCGAGGUCUCUUGCCCUGCGCUCCCAGCUCAAGAGCGCCAUGCGCCCAACACCUCCCCCACACUCCUGGGACCAGCUCACAGAGUUUUAAGACCUAUAGAUCUGGGUCGACACAGAAUCCCGCAGCGCCACAACUUCGGGACACGGUGACAAGAGAUGUGGCCACGCCGACCAUUUAAAGCGAUCCCAACUCUGGUGAAGUCUGACUGGAAAGACGCGGCUUCCCUCCCGGGCGCCUGGAGGAGGAUCGAGCAGGGGCUAUGCCUGGGCUUGCCUGGGCUUGUUCAGAGCAGGGCUUCUCCCCUCGGUAACUGCAGAUUGUGGGCUUUGGGACUCGUUGCCCGAAUCUGGAAGCCAAGGCCGGGGGCUCCAGGGGCCCGGGGUCUGCGCACCUGCUCGCCGUGGAGCUCAGUGGUGUGUCCAGGAGUGUGAUGGAUGAAGGCAAAAGAAAUCUAUUCUCUUGCAGUUCUGGAAGCCAAACGUCUGAAACGCAGCAGAGUCCAUCCACCUGUUGUCUCUGUGAAAGGAUCUUGUCUCAGCUUUUGAAGACUGCCUGGGUUCGUAGAUGCAUCCCUCCCCGCCUAUGCUCUAUGCCUGUCUUUCAUCUGUCUCAAUCUAUCUGUCCUCCGGGAUGCUUGUUACUGCAUAGGCUCCCAUUGGUCCGAGGCAGCCAUCUCAAGAGCCUUAAAGAUUUACCUGUGCAGACCUUAGGGUCUUUCAGGAUCAUUCUUUUUGUUGUUGUGCUGGUGGGUUUAUUUAUCUUUUAUUUUGUGUAUAUGGAUGUUUUACCUGUAGGUAUGGCUGUGCAUCACGUGUGUGAAGUUCCUGUGGGAGCCAGAAAAGGGUGUCAUCUCCUGGGACUAAAAUUACAGAUGGUUGUGAGCUACCAUGUGGGUGCUGGGAAUCAAGCCCAGGUCCUCUGCUCUUGCAUCCGUGAGCUUAACUGUGCUCCAUCUCUCUAGCCCCCUAUACUGUAUCAUCUGGAUAUGACAUUUUUUAUGCCCAUAUCGUUGCACUUCUUGAUUUAUCAUUGGUGUUAGGAGGAAUAAAAGCCCUUCCUAAUGACAGAGCACACAGAGAGUUGCCUCACGGAUCAGCCUCCUGGCUCUGACCCUGCCUCCGAGUGCCUGGACAGGUGGACAACUGUUGAGAAUAUCCAUGUAUUUACCCAUACUCGUUAUGGAUAACAGAGGAGGGAGAGCCGACCUCCCUUGGCGCCUCCCUGAAGCAGCAGCAGCCCUGGAAAUCGUGAGAUCUGAA